rnacentral:rRNA from 1 species
UACGGAGGGUGCAAGCGUUGUUCGGAAUCACUGGGCGUAAAGGGCGUGUAGGCGGUCCGCUAAGUCUGAUGUGAAAGCCCGGGGCUCACCCCCGGAAGGGCAUUGGAAACUGGCGGACUCGAGUCCCGGAGAGGAAGGUGGAAUUCCUGGUGUAGCGGUGAAAUGCGUAGAUAUCAGGAGGAAUACCGGUGGCGAAGGCGGCCUUCUGGUCUGUAACUGACGCUGAGGCGCGAAAGCGUGGGGAGCAAACAGG